UAGGGAAUCUUCGGCAAUGGACGAAAGUCUGACCGAGCAACGCCGCGUGAGUGAAGAAGGUUUUCGGAUCGUAAAACUCUGUUGUUAGAGAAGAACAAGGACGUUAGUAACUGAACGUCCCCUGACGGUAUCUAACCAGAAAGCCACGGCUAACUACGUGCCAGCAGCCGCGGUAAUACGUAGGUGGCAAGCGUUGUCCGGAUUUAUUGGGCGUAAAGCGAGCGCAGGCGGUUUCUUAAGUCUGAUGUGAAAGCCCCCGGCUCAACCGGGGAGGGUCAUUGGAAACUGGGAGACUUGAGUGCAGAAGAGGAGAGUGGAAUUCCAUGUGUAGCGGUGAAAUGCGUAGAUAUAUGAAGGAAAACCAGUGGCGAAGGCGGCUCUCUGGUCUAUAACUGACGCUGAGGCUCGAAAGCGUGGGGAGCAAACAGG
rnacentral:rRNA from 1 species